rnacentral:rRNA from 1 species
AGCGAACGCUGGCGGCAGGCCUAACACAUGCAAGUCGAACGAACUCUUCGGAGUUAGUGGCGGACGGGUGAGUAGCACGUGGGAACGUGCCUUUAGGUUCGGAAUAACUCAGGGAAACUUGUGCUAAUACCGAAUGUGCCCUUCGGGGGAAAGAUUUAUCGCCUUUAGAGCGGCCCGCGUCUGAUUAGCUAGUUGGUGAGGUAAAGGCUCACCAAGGCGACGAUCAGUAGCUGGUCUGAGAGGAUGAUCAGCCACAUUGGGACUGAGACACGGCCCAAACUCCUACGGGAGGCAGCAGUGGGGAAUCUUGCGCAAUGGGCGAAAGCCUGACGCAGCCAUGCCGCGUGAAUGAUGAAGGUCUUAGGAUUGUAAAAUUCUUUCACCGGGGACGAUAAUGACGGUACCCGGAGAAGAAGCCCCGGCUAACUUCGUGCCAGCCGCCGCAGUAACAC